GAAUAUUGCACAAUGGGCGAAAGCCUGAUGCAGCAACGCCGCGUGCCCGAUGAAGGCCUUCGGGUCGUAAAGGGCUUUUCUGGCUGAAGAGAAAGGACAGUAGGCCAGGAAUCAGCGUCGGCUAACUACGUGCCAGCAGCCGCGGUAAAACGUAGGACGCAAGCGUUAUCCGGAUUUACUGGGCGUAAAGCGCAGGCAGGCGGUGGUGAAAGUCGGACGUGAAAGCCCCAGGCUCAACCUGGAGAGGCCGUUCGAAACUGGACCACUGGAGGGCAGCAGAGGAACAUGGAAUUCCGGGUGGAGUGGUGAAAUGCGUAGAUAUCCGGAGGAACACCAGAGGCGAAGGCGAUGUUCUGGGCUGUACCUGACGCUGAACUGCGAAAGCCAGGGUAGCGAACGGG
rnacentral:rRNA from 1 species